rnacentral:rRNA from 1 species
UAGGCCGGUACUCGCGAAUGCUCUAGAUUAGAGUUGAUCCUGGCUCAGGCUUGGAACACCUCCUUAGAGUUUGAUCAUGGCUUAGAGUUGAUCCUGGCUCAGGACGAACGCUGGCGGCGUGCCUAAUACAUGCAAGUCGAGCGAACAGAGAAGGAGCUUGCUCCUUUGACGUUAGCGGCGGACGGGUGAGUAACACGUGGGCAACCUACCUUAUAGUUUGGGAUAACUCCGGGAAACCGGGGCUAAUACCGAAUAAUCUAUUUUACUUCAUGGUGAAAUACUGAAAGACGGUUUCGGCUGUCGCUAUAAGAUGGGCCCGCGGCGCAUUAGCUAGUUGGUGAGGUAACGGCUCACCAAGGCGACGAUGCGUAGCCGACCUGAGAGGGUGAUCGGCCACACUGGGACUGAGACACGGCCCAGACUCCUACGGGAGGCAGCAGUAGGGAAUCUUCCACAAUGGGCGAAAGCCUGAUGG